GGACGAACGCUGGCGGCGUGCUUAACACAUGCAAGUCGAACGGAGAUUAUUAAUGAAGCUUGCGAUUUAAUAAUCUUAGUGGCGGACGGGUGAGUAACGCGUGGGCAACCUACCCAUAAGAGGGGGGAUAACAGUUGGAAACGACUGCUAAUACCGCAUAAGCUAUUAAGGUCGCAUGACCUUAAUAGUAAAGGUGGCGAAAGCUAUCACUUAUGGAUGGGCCCGCGUCUGAUUAGCUAGUUGGUGGGGUAGUGGCCUACCAAGGCGACGAUCAGUAGCCGGCCUGAGAGGGUGGACGGCCACACUGGGACUGAGACACGGCCCAGACUCCUACGGGAGGCAGCAGUGGGGAAUAUUGCGCAAUGGGGGAAACCCUGACGCAGCGACGCCGCGUGAAGCGAAGAAGGCCUUAGGGUCGUAAAGCUCUGUUGUAAGGGACGAAUGUUUAUCUGGCGAACAGUCAGAUAAAGUGACGGUACCUUACCAGCAAGCCCCGGCUAACUACGUGCCAGCAGCCGC
rnacentral:rRNA from 1 species